CCUACGGGAGGCAGCAGUGAGGAAUAUUGGUCAAUGGACGCAAGUCUGAACCAGCCAUGCAGCGUGAAGGAAGACGGCUCUAUGAGUUGUAAACUGCUUUUGUACGAGGGUAAACGCAGAUACGCGUAUCUGUCUGAAAGUAUCGUACGAAUAAGGAUCGGCUAACUCCGUGCCAGCAGCCGCGGUAAUACGGAGGAUUCAAGCGUUAUCCGGAUUUAUUGGGUUUAAAGGGUGCGUAGGCGGUCGGAUAAGUUAGAGGUGAAAUCCUGAGGCUCAACUUCGGAAUUGCCUUUGAUACUGGUAGGCUAGAGAAAAGUUGCGGUAGGCGGAAUGCAUGGUGUAGCGGUGAAAUGCUUAGAGAUCAUACAGAACACCGAUUGCGAAGGCAGCUUACCAAGCUACUUCUGACGUUGAGGCACGAAAGCGUGGGGAGCAAACAGGAUUAGAUACCCUUGUAGUC
rnacentral:rRNA from 1 species